GGUGAACGCUGGCGGCGUGCCUAAUACAUGCAAGUCGAGCGAACGGACGAGAAGCUUGCUUCUCUGAUGUUAGCGGCGGACGGGUGAGUAACACGUGGAUAACCUACCUAUAAGACUGGGAUAACUUCGGGAAACCGUAGCUAAUACCGGAUAAUAUUUUGAACCGCAUGGUUCAAAAGUGAAAGACGGUCUUGCUGUCACUUAUAGAUGGAUCCGCGCUGCAUUAGCUAGUUGGUAAGGUAACGGCUUACCAAGGCAACGAUGCAUAGCCGACCUGAGAGGGUGAUCGGCCACACUGGAACUGAGACACGGUCCAGACUCCUACGGGAGGCAGCAGUAGGGAAUCUUCCGCAAUGGGCGAAAGCCUGACGGAGCAACGCCGCGUGAGUAAUGAAGGUCUUCGGAUCGUAAAACUCUGUUAUUAGGGAAGAACAUAUGUGUAAGUAACUGUGCACAUCUUGACGGUACCUAAUCAGAAAGCCACGGCUAACUACGUG
rnacentral:rRNA from 1 species